UUGAAAAGGGACAGCAGAGAAGCC
rnacentral:miRNA from 1 species